UGCCUUCCUGCGACUCGCAACAUCUCGCCUUUAAGAGAAAUAACGGAAGCCGCGGCCGUUUCUGAGCCUUAGAAAUAAUCAUGCUGUUUGACAGAAUCCCACAAGCCAAUCUCUGAAUAAGGAGCUUGGGGAGAAGGAAACACUAUAAACAAUGAACGAAAUCAGUCAGCUUGAAAGUAACUGCUUUAUCACAGGGUGCCAGACCAGCCUAUUAAGUGAACCCGAUGAUUAAACAAGGCUUCUGGAUUAAUAAGCCUUCCCCUGCAAACUACGGACGGCAGAUCAAGACCUGUUUUUGCAUUCGACGAAGGAUCAGAUAAAUGGGAGCCAGCUUGCUCUGAUAAGGCCUUGCUCUGGGCAUUGCCUCUCUCUGAAAGCCGUUUACUAUGCAUAGAGUCAGGCUAUCUGUGUUGCUGCACCUUGACAUGAAUUUAUCUGCACCAGAGACGAGAGAAUCCUGCAGAAAUUAUUGAAGUGGGAUUUGAUCUUGGGAGGCAAGCGUGUCAAUUUUCCACCAUUUUUUAAUUUUUCAUAUGGGCUUCUGGGACUGCAUACCGUUUGCAUAUUUCUAUUAAAAUCAAGAGCCAUGCAUAUCGGUUUUUUCUAUAGUUAGAAAAGACUUGCAAUCUGAAAUUGCAUGCAGAUAUGUAAACUUAAUUAAUCUGAUCACUUUAACUGCAGAUACACAUAAAAACUUUAUUAAACAAA